UACGUAGGGGGCUAGCGUUGUUCGGAUUCAUUGGGCGUAAAGGGUGCGUAGGCGGUCGCGCAAGUCGGAUGUGAAAUCUCAGGGCUCAACCCUGAAACUGCAUUCGAUACUGCGUGGCUAGAGUGCUGGAGGGGAGACUGGAAUUUACGGUGUAGCAGUGAAAUGCGUAGAUAUCGUAAGGAAGACCAGUGGCGAAGGCGAGUCUCUGGACAGCAACUGACGCUGAGGCACGAAGGCCAGGGGAGCAAACGGG
rnacentral:rRNA from 1 species